UACGAAGGGGGCUAGCGUUGUUCGGAGUUACUGGGCGUAAAGGGCGCGUAGGCGGCCCUCCAAGUCGGGCGUGAAAGCCCACGGCUCAACCGUGGAAUUGCGCUCGAGACUGAAGGGCUCGAGGACGGGAGAGGAUGGUGGAAUUCCCAGUGUAGAGGUGAAAAUUCGUAGAUAUCAGGAGGAACACCAGCGGCGAAGGCGGCGCUCUGGGCUGGAACUGACGCUGAGGAGCGAAAAGCGUGGGGGAGCGAAACAGG
rnacentral:rRNA from 1 species